GAUGAACGCUGGCGGCGUGCCUAAUACAUGCAAGUCGAGCGAACAGACGAGGAGCUUGCUCCUCUGACGUUAGCGGCGGACGGGUGAGUAACACGUGGAUAACCUACCUAUAAGACUGGGAUAACUUCGGGAAACCGGAGCUAAUACCGGAUAAUAUAUUGAACCGCAUGGUUCAAUAGUGAAAGACGGUUUUGCUGUCACUUAUAGAUGGAUCCGCGCCGCAUUAGCUAGUUGGUAAGGUAACGGCUUACCAAGGCAACGAUGCGUAGCCGACCUGAGAGGGUGAUCGGCCACACUGGAACUGAGACACGGUCCAGACUCCUACGGGAGGCAGCAGUAGGGAAUCUUCCGCAAUGGGCGAAAGCCUGACGGAGCAACGCCGCGUGAGUGAUGAAGGUCUUCGGAUCGUAAAACUCUGUUAUUAGGGAAGAACAAAUGUGUAAGUAACUAUGCACGUCCUGACGGUACCUAAUCAGAAAGCCAUGGCUAACUACGUG
rnacentral:rRNA from 1 species